GACGAACGCUGGCGGCGUGCUUAACACAUGCAAGUCGAACGGAAAGGCCCUGCUUUUGUGGGGUGCUCGAGUGGCGAACGGGUGAGUAACACGUGAGUAACCUGCCCUUGACUUUGGGAUAACUUCAGGAAACUGGGGCUAAUACCGGAUAGGAGCUCCUGCUGCAUGGUGGGGGUUGGAAAGUUUCGGCGGUUGGGGAUGGACUCGCGGCUUAUCAGCUUGUUGGUGGGGUAGUGGCUUACCAAGGCUUUGACGGGUAGCCGGCCUGAGAGGGUGACCGGCCACAUUGGGACUGAGAUACGGCCCAGACUCCUACGGGAGGCAGCAGUGGGGAAUAUUGCACAAUGGGCGGAAGCCUGAUGCAGCAACGCCGCGUGCGGGAUGACGGCCUUCGGGUUGUAAACCGCUUUCGCCUGUGACGAAGCGUGAGUGACGGUAAUGGGUAAAGAAGCACCGGCUAACUACGUGCCAGCAGCCGCGGUGAUACGUAGGGUGCGAGCGUUGUCCGGAUUUAUUGGGCGUAAAGGGCUCGUAGGUGGUUGAUCGCGUCGGAAGUGUAAUCUUGGGGCUUAACCCUGAGCGUGCUUUCGAUACGGGUUGACUUGAGGAAGGUAGGGGAGAAUGGAAUUCCUGGUGGAGCGGUGGAAUGCGCAGAUAUCAGGAGGAACACCAGUGGCGAAGGCGGUUCUCUGGGCCUUUCCUGACGCUGAGGAGCGAAAGCGUGGGGAGCGAACAGGCUUAGAUACCCUGGUAGUCCACGCUGUAAACGGUGGGUACUAGGUGUGGGGUCCAUUCCACGGGUUCCGUGCCGUAGCUAACGCUUUAAGUACCCCGCCUGGGGAGUACGGCCGCAAGGCUAAAACUCAAAGGAAUUGACGGGGCCCCGCACAAGCGGCGGAGCAUGCGGAUUAAUUCGAUGCAACGCGUAGAACCUUACCUGGGUUUGACAUGGAUCGGGAGUGCUCAGAGAUGGGUGUGCCUCUUUUGGGGUCGGUUCACAGGUGGUGCAUGCCUGUCGUCAGCUCGUGUCGUGAGAUGUUGGGUUAAGUCCCGCAACGAGCGCAACCCUUGUUCACUGUUGCCAGCACGUUAUGGUGGGGACUCAGUGGAGACCGCCGGGGUCAACUCGGAGGAAGGUGGGGAUGACGUCAAGUCCUCAUGCCCCUUAUGUCCAGGGCUUCACGCAUGCUACAAUGGCUGGUACAGAGAGUGGCGAGCCUGUGAGGGUGAGCGAAUCCCGGAAAGCCGGUCUCAGUUCGGAUUGGGGUCUGCAACUCGACCUCAUGAAGUCGGAGUCGCUAGUAAUCGCAGAUCAGCAACGCUGCGGUGAAUACGUUCCCGGGGCU
rnacentral:rRNA from 1 species